AAUGAACGCUGGCGGCGUGCUUUACACAUGCAAGUCGAGCGAGGCGUGUAGCAAUACACAGUCGAGCGGCGAACGGGUGAGUAACGCGUGGAUACCUGCCCUGAGGUGGGGAAUAACCCGGGGAAACUCGGGCUAAUACCGCAUGACACCGAGCGGUCAAAGGGGGCCGCAAGGCUCCUGCCACAGGAGGGGUCCGCGUCCGAUUAGCUAGUUGGCAGGGUAAUGGCCUACCAAGGCGACGAUCGGUAGCCGGCCUGAGAGGGUGAUCGGCCACACUGGAACUGAGACACGGUCCAGACUCCUACGGGAGGCAGCAGUGGGGAAUUUUGGACAAUGGGCGCAAGCCUGAUCCAGCAAUGCCGCGUGCAGGAUGAAGGCCUUCGGGUUGUAAACUGCUUUUGUACGGAGCGAAAAGGCUCUCUCUAAUACAGGGGGCUCAUGACGGUACCGUAAGAAUAAGUACCGGCUAACUACGUGCCAGCCGCCGCAGUAACAC
rnacentral:rRNA from 1 species